UCCCGCCGAGCGUCGGCUCGGUUUUUUCCCUUUUAGCCUGCAGGCACCGAAUUCUGCGGGGCACCAGAAGGCUAAAAGGAAAAAAACCGAGCCAACGCUCGGUGGGA